rnacentral:rRNA from 1 species
UACGUAGGUGGCAAGCGUUGUCCGGAAUUAUUGGGCGUAAAGCGCGCGCAGGCGGUCCUUUAAGUCUGAUGUGAAAGCCCACGCUCAACUGGGAGGGUGCGCCGAAAACUGCAAGGCUGGAGUGUGGGAGAGGUAGGCGGAAUUCCUGGUGUAGCGGUGGAAUGCGUAGAGAUCGGGAAGAACAUCAGUGGCGAAGGCGGCCUGCUGGGCUGUUGCUGACGCUGAGGCGCGACAGCGUGGGGAGCAAACGAGG